rnacentral:rRNA from 1 species
GACGAACGCUGGCGGCGUGCCUAAUACAUGCAAGUAGAACGCACAGUUUAUACCGUAGCUUGCUACACCAUAAACUGUGAGUUGCGAACGGGGGAGUAACGCGUAGGUAACCUGCCUGGUAGCGGGGGAUAACUAUUGGAAACGAUAGCUAAUACCGCAUGAUAUUUAUUAUUGCAUGAUAAUUGAUUGAAAGAUGCUAUUGCAUCACUACCAGAUGGACCUGCGUUGUAUUAGCUAGUAGGUGAGGUAACGGCUCACCUAGGCGACGAUACAUAGCCGACCUGAGAGGGUGAUCGGCCACACUGGGACUGUGACACGGCCCAGAGUCCUACGGGAGGCAGCAGUAGGGAAUCGUCGGCAAUGGACGAAAGUCUGACCGAGAAACGCCGCGUGAGUGAAGAAGGUUGUCGGAUCGUAAAGCUCGGUUGUAAGAGAAGAACGGGUGUGAGAGUGGAAAGUUCACACUGUGACGGUAUCUUACCAGAAAGGGACGGCUAACUACGUG